GAGAGGCUAGCGUUGGAUGGUUUUAGGCGGGGUAGGGGUAGGCCGAAGAAGUACUGGGGCGAGGUGAUUAGGCGGGACAUGGAACAGUUACAGCUCACCGAGGACAUGACCCUAGAUAGGAAGGUCUGGAGGGCGCGAAUUUCGGCAGAGGAUUAGGGCCAGUUUGGGUCGCUAGUGUAGGAAAUUACUUGGUGGGGGUUUUAUUCCUGUUAUGAUUCCGUCUUCCGUGUUCCAUGUUUUAUUACGAAUCUGUGUGCUUUCCUCUGCUUUCCUCUGUUUUAUAUUACUUAUGGGUGCCGUAUUUAUGUUAUGUAAUCUGCUUCUGUGCUUUACUAUGUGUUUGUG
rnacentral:lncRNA from 1 species